UACAGAGGGGGCAAGCGUUGUUCGGAAUUACUGGGCGUAAAGGGCGCGUAGGCGGCCAGCACAAGUCAGUUGUGAAAUCUCCGAGCUUAACUCGGAAAGGUCAACUGAUACUGUGCGGCUAGAGUGCAGAAGGGGCAACUGGAAUUCUUGGUGUAGCGGUGAAAUGCGUAGAUAUCAAGAGGAACACCUGCGGCGAAGGCGGGUUGCUGGGCUGACACUGACGCUGAGGCGCGAAAGCUAGGGGAGCGAACGGG
rnacentral:rRNA from 1 species